GGCCGGGUGGCGGAAUUGGCAGACGCGUAGGUCUCAAAAACCUAUGGUACGUAAGUACUGUGAGAGUUCGAGUCUCUCCCUGGCCA
rnacentral:tRNA from 1 species